AGAGACAGCAGCAGCCACGGUAAUACGAAGGGGGCUAGCGUUGUUCGGAAUUACUGGGCGUAAAGCGCACGUAGGCGGAUAUUUAAGUCAGGGGUGAAAUCCCAGAGCUCAACUCUGGAACUGCCUUUGAUACUGGGUAUCUUGAGUAUGGAAGAGGUGAGUGGAAUUCCGAGUGUAGAGGUGAAAUUCGUAGAUAUUCGGAGGAACACCAGUGGCGAAGGCGGCUCACUGGUCCAUUACUGACGCUGAGGCGCGAAAGCGUGGGGAGCAAACAGGAUUAGAUACCCGCGUAGUCCCUGUCUCUUAUAC
rnacentral:rRNA from 1 species